rnacentral:snRNA from 3 species
GAGCUCCCUUCAGCAGCACACAUACUAAAAUUGGAACUAUACGGAGAAGAUUAGCAUGGCCCCUGUGCAAGGAUGACACGCAAAUUCAUGAAGCGCUCCAUAUUUUU